rnacentral:tRNA from 1 species
GCCUAGCUGGCUCAGUCAGUAGAGUAUGUGACUCUUGAUCCCAGAUUUGUGAGUUUAAGUCCCACAUUGGGCA